UCGGAUUAGCUAGUUGGUGGGGUAAUGGCUCACCAAGGCGACGAUCCGUAACUGGUCUGAGAGGAUGAUCAGUCACACUGGAACUGAGACACGGUCCAGACUCCUACGGGAGGCAGCAGUGGGGAAUAUUGGACAAUGGGCGAAAGCCUGAUCCAGCCAUGCCGCGUGUGUGAAGAAGGUCUUCGGAUUGUAAAGCACUUUAAGUUGGGAGGAAGGGCAGUAAGCGAAUACCUUGCUGUUUUGACGUUACCGACAGAAUAAGCACCGGCUAACUCUGUGCCAGCAGCCGCGGUAAUACAGAGGGUGCAAGCGUUAAUCGGAAUUACUGGGCGUAAAGCGCGCGUAGGUGGUUUGUUAAGUUGGAUGUGAAAGCCCCGGGCUCAACCUGGGAACUGCAUCCAAAACUGGCAAGCUA
rnacentral:rRNA from 1 species